CCCUGCCAUUUGUACACACCGCCCGUCGCACCUACCGAUUGAAUGGUCCGGUGAAGCCUCGAGAUUGUGAUGAGUUUGCUUUAUUGCAAGGUUAUCAUGUAAACUUGUCUAAACCUUAUCAUUUAGAGGAAGGUGAAGUCGUAACAAGGUUUCCG
rnacentral:rRNA from 1 species